UCUGUCAAAGCUUCAGUUACUGUGAGGUUGCAGAAGAUUUCUUCCUUAAUUGGAGAAGACCCCAACUGCCUAAAUCAGCAGGGAUGAAUGCAUGGAUGUGGGAAUCAAGCGUGAAAGUAGCUGGAUGACAGCCAACUACUCCACCAGAGCCCAGCGUAGCUUCAUUGCUUCCUCCUCCUCCUCGAUUGGCUUAUAACAGGCCAUAUCCCUCCCUGGGGUGACUCCAUUGAGGGGAAAUCGCUCAAGGUUGCUUGCAUUCAGAAGGCAGAAAGGAUCACAGCUGUGGGUGAGAGCAAGUUUCCAUGACCGAUUCAGUCACUGUUUUCUCUGCUGUUAGCCAGUUUUUGACACAGUUAAUGUCAAUUGUGUUUGUGGCAUUUAAGUGCAAGAACAACAAAAAAUUUAAGUACAUCAGAAGCAGGAAGUCAAACAAUCCAUGGGGCCACUGGAUGAUCAAGGUGCACUGCUAAAGGUUCACUCAAGGAAGGCAAGACUGACGCAGAGAAUCUAAAUUAAUUGCAGACGAUGUGAGGGAGAUUCCCACACCUGAGCUGAUCUUUUUAGGUGAUAAAGCGAUGGAACUGUCCCAGAUUGAGGUGGUGUUAGAGGAGGUUUUGGAACAAAUGAAUAAGCAGUAAAAAGUCACCAAGACUUGGUGGCAUUCAUCCAAGGGGGUCUGAAGAAACUCAAGUAUGAAACGCCAGCACCACUAACUGUGGUAUGUAACCUAUCACUUAAAUCAGCCGCUAUACCAGAUGACUGGAGAAUAGCUAAAGUAAUGUCGAUUUUUUUAAAAAGGCUCCAUAGUUCAAUUGUGUCAAUUACAGGGUCAUAAACGUAAUCUCAAUACCAGCAAAAUGAUAGAAACUAAAAUAAAGAACAGAAUUAUCAGACCUAUAGAUGAACAUGAUUUGUGGGGGAAAAGUCAACAGGGCUUUUGUAAAAUCAUGCCUCACCAAUCUAUUAGAAUUCUGUGAGGUGGGUCUACAAAUGUGGAAAAGGGUGAGCCAGUGAAUAUAGU